UACGUAGGCAGCAAGCGUUGUUCGGAAUUACUGGGCGUAAAGAGUGUGUAGGCGGCGCUCUAAGUUCGGGUGUGAAAUCUCCCGCUUAACUGGGAGGGUGCGCCGGAAACUGGAGUGCUCGAGCGUGGGAGAGGAAAGCGGAAUUCCUGGUGUAGCGGUGAAAUGCGUAGAUAUCAGGAGGAACACCUGCGGUGUAGACGGCUUUCUGGACCAUUGCUGACGCUGAGACACGAAAAGCGUGGGUAGCAAACAGG
rnacentral:rRNA from 1 species